rnacentral:rRNA from 1 species
GACGAACGCUGGCGGCGUGCUUAACACAUGCAAGUCGAACGGUGAAGCGCCUUCCUUUUUGGUGGGUGUGGAUGAGUGGCGAACGGGUGAGUAACACGUGAGUAACCUGCCCCCUUCUUCUGGAUAACCGCAUGAAAGUGUGGCUAAUACGGGAUAUUCUGGGUCUGUCGCAUGAUGGGUCUGGGAAAGAUAUUGUUUCGGUGGGGGAUGGGCUCGCGGCCUAUCAGCUUGUUGGUGGGGUGAUGGCCUACCAAGGCGGUGACGGGUAGCCGGCCUGAGAGGGUGGACGGUCACACUGGGACUGAGACACGGCCCAGACUCCUACGGGAGGCAGCAGUGGGGAAUAUUGCACAAUGGGAGCAAGCCUGAUGCAGCGACGCCGCGUGAGGGAUGGAGGCCUUCGGGUUGUGAACCUCUUUCGCCAGUGAAGCAGGCCUGCCUAGUUUGUGGGUGGGUUGACGGUAGCUGGAUAAGAAGCGCCGGCUAACUACGUG